GCCGUUGUAGCUCAAUGGAAGAGCGUACCCUUGAAACGGGUAAGACAGAGGUUCGAUUCCUCCCAGCGGCACCA
rnacentral:tRNA from 1 species